rnacentral:rRNA from 1 species
GGGACACGUGGUAUCCUGUCUGAAUAUGGGGGGACCAUCCUCCAAGGCUAAAUACUCCUGACUGACCGAUAGUGAACCAGUACCGUGAGGGAAAGGCGAAAAGAACCCCGGCGAGGGGAGUGAAAAAGAACCUGAAACCGUGUACGUACAAGCAGUGGGAGCACGCUUAGGCGUGUGACUGCGUACCUUUUGUAUAAUGGGUCAGCGACUUAUAUUCUGUAGCAAGGUUAACCGAAUAGGGGAGCCGAAGGGAAACCGAGUCUUAACUGGGCGUUAAGUUGCAGGGUAUAGACCCGAAACCCGGUGAUCUAGCCAUGGGCAGGUUGAAGGUUGGGUAACACUAACUGGAGGACCGAACCGACUAAUGUUGAAAAAUUAGCGGAUGACUUGUGGCUGGGGGUGAAAGGCCAAUCAAACCGGGAGAUAGCUGGUUCUCCCCGAAAGCUAUUUAGGUAGCGCCUCGUGAAUUCAUCUCCGGGGGUAGAGCACUGUUUCGGCAAGGGGGUCAUCCCGACUUACCAACCCGAUGCAAACUGCGAAUACCGGAGAAUGUUAUCACGGGAGACACACGGCGGGUGCUAACGUCCGUCGUGAAGAGGGAAACAACCCAGACCGCCAGCUAAGGUCCCAAAGUCAUGGUUAAGUGGGAAACGAUGUGGGAAGGCCCAGACAGCCAGGAUGUUGGCUUAGAAGCAGCCAUCAUUUAAAGAAAGCGUAAUAGCUCACUGGUCGAGUCGGCCUGCGCGGAAGAUGUAACGGGGCUAAACCAUGCACCGAAGCUGCGGCAGCGACACUAUGUGUUGUUGGGUA